GAUGGUGACCUGAUCGUUGGUCUUGUCGCGGUACUCCAUCCCAAGGUCGUAGUAUUCGAGCUUCACAUCGAGGAACGGGUUGAUCAGUUUGUCCUUGAUGUACUGCCAGAUGAUCCGGGUCAUCUCGUCGCCAUCGAGUUCGACGACGGGGUUGGUCACCUUGAUUUUUGCCAUGGGGGAUCGGGCCUUAAAUGGGGGGCGGAGAGGGCGAGAGAACCGAAACUGGUUCCGUAGCGAGGCUAUAGCACCCGCCUUCGCAGGCUGGAAGGCAACGCACCUGAGACUUUCUGGCAUGCUGGGCGGGACAGGCGUUCCGGCGGGGCCAAUUGGAGCGAUUUCAGUCGAUGAAUUUUGAGGCGAUCUGCGCUUUGCCGCCACUUUCGGAAACCGUGCAGUGCCAAAACCCCUCAACACUUCCGCCGGACGCGGUUUUGGCGACGGCGGAUGNNNNNNAUCCGCCGCGUGUUUCGCGCGAGAUUCAAACGAUUCGAUAACCCCAUUGAUUUAUAAAGAG
rnacentral:misc_RNA from 1 species